GAUGAAGAACGCAGCGAAAUGCGAUAAGUAAUGUGAAUUGCAGAAUUCAGUGAAUCAUCGAAUCUUUGAACGCACAUUGCUCCCGCCAGUAUUCUGGCGGGCAUGCCUGUUCGAGCGUCAUUUCAACCAUCAAGCCCCCGGCUUGUGUUGGGGACCUGCGGCUGCCGCAGGCCCUGAAAACCAGUGGCGGGCUCGCUAGUCACUCCGAGCGUAGUAGUUACAUCUCGCUCAGGGCGUGCUGCGGGUUCCGGCCGUUAAAAGCCUUAUUUACCCAAGGUUGACCUCGGAUCAGGUAGGAAGACCCGCUGAACUUAAGCAUAUCAAUAAGCGGAGGA
rnacentral:misc_RNA from 1 species